rnacentral:lncRNA from 1 species
CUUGAUGUUUUACUAUGAGCUUUUUAGAAAAUAAGCUCAAUGACCAGAAUUCUUUAUGGAUAGGUGUUGCUUGUUCCACCGUUUUCUCGAUAUAAUCCGAUUUUAGAACAAAGUUGGAGUUUAAUUUGCAGAUAAGAUUAGCAGAAAUAGAUGGUAAUUCCAAUUGUUCGAAUUAUUAUCUAUAUCAGACACCAAUAAUAUUUCUUUAUUUUUUGAUCUAUUCUUUUCACUGGUACUUCCUCUUGAACUACUACUUUUAGAG